rnacentral:rRNA from 2 species
UUUUGCCUACCGUGGUUGUUGACGGGUAACGGGGAAUUAGGGUUCGAUUCCGGAGAGGGAGCCUGAGAGAUGGCUACCACAUCCAAGGAUGGCAGCAGGCGCGCAAAUUACCCAAUCCUGACACAGGGAGGUAGCGACAAGAAAUACCGAUAGAUGGCNCNCUGUGUUAUUUUAUUGGCAUGACUUUUAUUUAAAAGUUGAAAGGAGUAACGAUUGGAGGGCAAGUCUGGUGCCAGCAGCCGCGGUAAUUUCAGCUCCNAUAGCGNACACCAACGUUGUUGCAGUUAAAAAGCUCGUAGUUGGAUUUCGGGAUGGGCCAGUCGGUCUGCCGCAAGGUAUGUUACUGGCUGGUCUGUCCUUCUUCGCAAAGACUGCGUGUGCUCUUAACUGAGUGUGCGUAGGAUUUGCGACGUUUACUUUGAAAAAAUUAGAGUGUUCAAAGCAGGCUAACCGCUUGAAUACAUGAGCAUGGAAUAAUGGAAUAGGACUUUGGUUCUAUUUUGUUGGUUUCUAGAACUGAAGUAAUGAUUAAGAGGGACAGUUGGGGGCAUUCGUAUUUCGUUGUCAGAGGUGAAAUUCUUGGAUUUACGAAAGACGAACAACUGCGAAAGCGUUUGGCAAGGAUAUACCCAUUGAUCAAGGACGAAAGUUAGGGGAUCGAAGACGAUUAGAUACCGUCGUAGUCUUAACCAUAAACGUUGCCAUCUAAAAGAUGGUGUACUGUACUUUCAAAGUACAUCCUUUUUUUCCGGGAAACCAAAGAUUUUGGGUUCUGGGGGGAGUAUGGUCGCAAGAUUGAAACUUAAAGGAAUUGACGGAAGGGCACCACCAGGAGUGGAGCCUGCGGCUUAAUUUGACUCAACACGGGGCAACUUACCAGGUCCGGACAUUUUUAUGAUUGACAGAUUGAUAGCUCUUUCAUGAUUGAAUGGGUGGUGGUGCAUGGCCGUUCUUAGUUGGUGGAGUGAUUUGUCUGGUUAAUUCCGUUAACGAACGAGACCUUUUCCUGCUAACUAGUUUUUAUAUUUUGAGUAACAAUGUGAAACUUCUUAAAGGNACUAUUCGUUUAUUUCNCGGAUGGAANCUUUAGGCAANAACAGGUCUGUGANGCCCUUUGAUGUCCUGGGCUGCACGCGGGCUACACUGANGCAGUCAACGAGUGANAGUAACCUUUUCUGAUAAGAGUAGGGUAAUCUUUGAACCUGCAUCGUGCGUGGGAUUGAAAACCCAACUGGGUNACAAAA